rnacentral:rRNA from 1 species
GUGAAGCGGCAAGAGCUCAGAUUUGAAAUCGUGUUUCGGCACGAGUUGUAGAGUGUAGGCGGGAGUCUCUGUGGAGCGCGGUGUCCAAGUCCCUUGGAACAGGGUGCCUGAGAGGGUGAGAGCCCCGUAGGGUGCUGCGCGAAGCUUUUGAGGCCCUGCUGACGAGUCGAGUUGUUUGGGAAUGCAGCUCCAAGCGGGUGGUAAAUUCCAUCUAAGGCUAAAUAUUGGCGAGAGACCGAUAGCGAACAAGUACUGUGAAGGAAAGAUGAAAAGCACUUUGAAAAGAGAGUGAAACAGCACGUGAAAUUGUUGAAAGGGAAGGGUAUUGGGCUCGACAUGGGGGGUGCGCACCGCUGUCUCUUGUAGGCGGCGCUCUGGGCGCCCUCUGGGCCAGCAUCGGUUCCUGCUGCGGGAGAAGGGGCUCCGGAAAGUGGCUCUUCGGAGUGUUAUAGCCGGGGCCAGAUGCCGCGUGUGGGGACCGAGGACUGCGGCUUCUGUCUCGGAUGCUGGCAUAACGGCGCAAUACCGC